rnacentral:rRNA from 1 species
UUUAACGGCCGCGGUAUUCUGACCGUGCAAAGGUAGCGCAAUCAAUUGUCUUUUAAAUGAAGACCCGUAUGAAUGGCACAACGAGGGCUUAACUGUCUCCUUUUUCUGGUCGAUGAAAUUGAUCUCCCCGUGCAGAAGCGGGGAUAAUAACAUAAGACGAGAAGACCCUAUGGAGCUUAAAACGCAAGAAUAGACCAGACCAAUAAACUUAAGUUAAUAAAACAAACCAACUGGCCCCUAUUCCAGUGUUUUUGGUUGGGGUGACCACGGGGUAACAUAAAACCCCCGAGCAGAAAGAAAAUACAAUUUUUUUACUCAAGGGCAACAGCCCUAAAGACCAGAACCUCUGACUAUCAGAUCCGGCCAAGCCGAUUAACGGACCGAGUUACCCUAGGGAUAACAGCGCAAUCCUCUUUUAGAGCCCAUAUCGACAAGAGGGUUUACGACCUCGAUGUUGGACCAGGACAUCCUAAU